rnacentral:rRNA from 1 species
UACGUAGGGUGCGAGCGUUGUCCGGAAUUACUGGGCGUAAAGAGCUCGUAGGUGGUUUGUCGCGUUGUUCGUGAAAACUCACAGCUUAACUGUGGGCGUGCGGGCGAUACGGGCAGACUGGAGUACUGCAGGGGAGACUGGAAUUCCUGGUGUAGCGGUGGAAUGCGCAGAUAUCAGGAGGAACACCGGUGGCGAAGGCGGUGGUCUGGGCCGGCACUGACGCUGAGGAGCGAAAGCGUGGGGAGCAAACAGG